rfam:Triticum aestivum genome assembly, contig: Triticum_aestivum_CS42_TGACv1_scaffold_194676_3AL
GUUAUACUCCCUCCGUUCGGUAUUACUUGUCUCGAAAAUGGAUGUACCUAAAAUUAAAAUACAUCUAGAUACAUUCAUUUUCACGACAAGUAGUUCCGAACGGAGGGAGUAGUUG